UACGGAGGAUGCAAGCGUUAUCCGGAUUUAUUGGGUUUAAAGGGUGCGCAGGUUGUUUGAUAAGUCAGUGGUGAAAGUCUGUCGCUUAACGGUAGGAUUGCCAUUGAUACUGUUAGACUUGAAUAUGGAUGAGGUAGGCGGAAUGUGUAGUGUAGCGGUGAAAUGCAUAGAUAUUACACAGAACACCGAUUGCGAAGGCAGCUUACUAAUCCAUCAUUGACGCUGAGGCACGAAAGCAUGGGGAUCAAA
rnacentral:rRNA from 1 species